AUUCCUUGAAUCUAAGGAUAACAUAUGCUAGGGCAGAAUAUCAGAAUCCAAACAUGUAUCGGCGGUAUCACAAUGUACACUUCCGUUCUCCAGAUGGCCAUGGUGAUGAUAACGAGUAUGACAAUGGGGGCCUAGCCAUUGACUUGAAGGAAAAAGUUGUCGGAAUGGUCAACCUCCCUAAGAGAUUUUGGUCUUUCAUACCUUCUUCCAUUUUGUUCAAUUGUUUGGAUUCAUGGAAGAAAUAUCGCAGAAGGGGAUAAUUGACGAUAACCCCCUUUGUUGAUCGAUCCUUGAUCAUAU